UACGUAGGGGGCAAGCGUUGUCCGGAAUCAUUGGGCGUAAAGCGCGUGUAGGCGGCUGAGUAAGUCUGCUCUGAAAGCCCGGGGCUCAACCCCGGGAGGCGGGUGGAUACUGCUCAGCUCGAGUCCGGAAGAGGAGUGUGGAAUUCCUGGUGUAGCGGUGAAAUGCGCAGAUAUCAGGAGGAACACCAAUGGCGAAGGCAGCACUCUGGGACGGUACUGACGCUGAGAGCGAAAGCGUGGGGAGCAAACGGG
rnacentral:rRNA from 1 species